rnacentral:rRNA from 1 species
CCUACGGGAGGCAGCAGUGAGGAAUAUUGGACAAUGGGCGCAAGCCUGAUCCAGCCAUGCCGCGUGCAGGAUGACGGUCCUAUGGAUUGUAAACUGCUUUUAUACGAGAAGAAACACCCCUACGUGUAGGGACUUGACGGUAUCGUAAGAAUAAGGAUCGGCUAACUCCGUGCCAGCAGCCGCGGUAAUACGGAGGAUCCAAGCGUUAUCCGGAAUCAUUGGGUUUAAAGGGUCCGUAGGCGGUUUAGUAAGUCAGUGGUGAAAUCUCCCCGCUCAACGGGGAAACGGCCAUUGAUACUGCUAGACUUGAAUUAUUAGGAAGUAACUAGAAUAUGUAGUGUAGCGGUGAAAUGCUUAGAGAUUACAUGGAAUACCAAUUGCGAAGGCAGGUUACUACUAAUGGAUUGACGCUGAUGGACGAAAGCGUGGGUAGCGAACAGGAUUAGAUACCCUGGUAGUCCACGCCGUAAACGAUGGAUACUAGCUGUUGGGUGCAAACUCAGUGGCUAAGCGAAAGUGAUAAGUAUCCACCUGGGGAGUACGUUCGCAAGAAUGAAACCUCAAAGAGUAUCGCGNGNGAGAGCGACGACGACGACGACGGAGGAGG